CUGCACCCUCCUAUGUACGAGACACAAUUUGCACACCAAUGCAAUGGAAGCUGUUGAGGAGGAACCACCUCGGUUUGAUCUUUGUAAACUGCUGGUCUUCAGCCUCCAUAGACAGUUCUGGCAGUGCACUUGAACAAGGCUGCAAAGAUAAUUAAUGGAAGGAACUCUGAAAUCCAAACUCAGAUUAUUCUGCAGUCCCCAACAUCUAUCCAAUUUGCAUACCAAUUGCCAGCAGAAGCAGCAGAGCUGGGAACAGUGAGCAGAUGUCCUGAGCCGGCCCGAGGAAGCCCAGGCAGCCACACCAAUACAACCACCAGCACACAGGAUCUCUUUGUUGUCUUGAGCUCUCAGGGUGGCUGCCUAACACCUGCAGCACUCCCACAUCCCUGUGUAAAUUGCCUGCAUCCCUCGCUGACAAAUGAGAGGCCAUUGCCAGCAACAAGGUAA
rnacentral:lncRNA from 1 species